GAACGCUUCUUUCCUCCCGAGUGCUUGCACUCAAUUGGAAAGAGGAGUGGCGGACGGGUGAGUAACACGUGGGUAACCUACCCAUCAGAGGGGGAUAACACUUGGAAACAGGUGCUAAUACCGCAUAACAGUUUAUGCCGCAUGGCAUAAGAGUGAAAGGCGCUUUCGGGUGUCGCUGAUGGAUGGACCCGCGGUGCAUUAGCUAGUUGGUGAGGUAACGGCUCACCAAGGCCACGAUGCAUAGCCGACCUGAGAGGGUGAUCGGCCACACUGGGACUGAGACACGGUCCAGACUCCUACGGGAGGCAGCAGUAGGGAAUCUUCGGCAAUGGACGAAAGUCUGACCGAGCAACGCCGCGUGAGUGAAGAAGGUUUUCGGAUCGUAAAACUCUGUUGUUAGAGAAGAACAAGGACGUUAGUAACUGAACGUCCCCUGACGGUAUCUAACCAGAAAGCCACGGCUAACUACGUGCCAGCAGCCGCGGUAAUACGUAGGUGGCAAGCGUUGUCCGGAUUUAUUGGGCGUAAAGCGAGCGCAGGCGGUUUCUUAAGUCUGAUGUGAAAGCCCCCGGCUCAACCGGGGAGGGUCAUUGGAAACUGGGAGACUUGAGUGCAGAAGAGGAGAGUGGAAUUCCAUGUGUAGCGGUGAAAUGCGUAGAUAUAUGGAGGAACACCAGUGGCGAAGG
rnacentral:rRNA from 1 species